rnacentral:tRNA from 1 species
AGUUACGUGGCCGAGGGGAUAGGCAGAGGUUUGCAAGACCUCCUACGACGGUUCGAUCCCGUCCGUAACUG